AGAACACGUUGUUUUGGAAAUGGGUUCAUCCAAAAAGCUCCAUUUCCUGCGCCGCGGCCUUGGGCGGCUCAGCUGACAGUCCCUGCUGGAACGGCUUCUGUCGCCGCGCUCUGCUCCCGUCGGCAUUCAAAAGGCUCUUUUCAACGGCACCCCCCUUAGCGAGCUCUCCUGGUCCUCCUCGCUGGCUGUCGUGGCCGUUUCCUUCUCUGGGCUCUUCACCUUCAUCUUCCUCAUGUUGGCCUGCCUGUGCUGCAAGAAGGGAGAUAUCGGCUUCAAGGAGUUUGAGAACGCCGAGGGGGACGACUACGUGACGGAGUUCUCGGCCCAGGGCUCGCCCGCCCCGCAGCAUGGCCCCGAGGUGUACGUCCUGCCCCUCACCGAGG
rnacentral:lncRNA from 1 species